GUGGGAGUCACGUGCGCCAGUUCUGCCUUCCCGCUGGCUCCCCCUGCCCCGCCCCCUCCAGCGGCGGCAAGCGCCGCGCGUGGUCUCGCGGGAGGGUAUUUAAAGGCCCAGGAGGCGCCGCCUCCUCCCUUUCGCCGCUGCCCGCCAGCGCGGUAAGUGCCCGGCGAGGGGAACGGCAGCAGAAAGCGUCCCGAGGAACCGCCAAGGCCUUCCCAUGUCCCCGGAGGCUUUGUGUGCCGGCCCGCCGCGCUCGGCUGCUCCCGGCGCGGGCAGAAGGCCAAGCACAGUAGGCCUCGACGGCUGGGGAUCUGGAGCCUCGCCUUUGAAGGGCUGUAGGGAUCCCACUUAGCAACUUCACAUUUGAGGUGUUCAAGGGGUGGAGGAUCACACCUAAAUCAGAAGCAAUGCUCAGGACUUCAUUGGAAUGUUCUGCUAGUAGGUUGCUCAGAUGUGUCAGUGCUUUAUGAACCUGUGUGAUACACAUCUCGAGUGAAAAGAGUUCCUUGUACACUGGUUGGUCUCCAGGGAGAAAACCAACAUGUCCAAUGGAUUUGAACUGAUAUUAAACAUCAGCUCGUGAUUUGAUGAGUGGCUGAUUUCUGAAUUCAUACUAGAUGACUCCAGUGGUCACCUGUAAUGUAUAUUCUUGGAAGUGGGAUUAAAACAACCAGUGGGUAAAACUAUACAUCUUCAAUGCUUAUGCUUAUGUUUAAAUAGGAAUCUCACAACUUGUUGAAAGAAGUUUCUCAAGAAAAAACUAUAAUUUAUUUUUAUGUCUGUGUGGAUUAAUUGAAAUAAAAGAGAAUGCUACCAGAAAUUUGUGUGUUCUGAAGCUUUCUUGUGUAGGUGCUUCCUGGAUGAAGGCUUUUUUUCAUGGAUGUGGACACUCCUGUGCUGUCAUGCACAUUCUCUUGCCAAGUGCAAAAUUAAUAAGUUUAAUCUUCAACUUAAAAAGCUGUUGAAAGCAGGUCUCUUAAAUCUUCUGAAUAUCUGAUCAUGGUUUUCUGAAGUAUUUUAGAAUGCCAAAGCACUUUGAGGUCAACUGGCCAACUUCUCAUUUAUUUCAUUAGGUUGUAUGUGUUAUUCACAUCUCCUCCAACUAGUCAAAAGGUUGUCUCAGACUUUAAAGAACAAGUACCUGCCUGUUUCAAAUAAACAAAUUUGCAAUAUUCCAUGUAAAGAACAACCAGUGGAAAGAUCCUUGAAGAGCAAGAUCAAUAAUGUUGAGCAAUUGAAAACGCAUAUGUGCUUUUCAGUUGCUUAUUUCCAAGUAAACAUUAAACAUUUUUUCCCCAGUGGGAGGUCUGAACAUAAAGUGAUUUAUGUUCACCCUAUUCCUGGCCAGUGCUUCCUUAAGACUGCACAAGCAAGAAUAUAAAACAGUUUGAAGUAGCUGUGGGCAGUGCCUGGCACAGGAGAAUGAGUUAGUGUGGAUUUAAGACCUAACUGUUAUGUACUUGGUCAGAUCGAACUCUGAGAUAGCCAGGAAGAGUUUCUGCUUGUUAUCUUUACUUGAACAUGUACGAAAUGGGGUGAGUAUUUAGUGAUGAUCUAUUGUACUUGUAGUCUGCUAGGCUUCCCUAAAUGCUUCUUUUCCUCUGGAUUUGUUUUUCUAAAAGGUGAAACUAAAUUUGAAGGAUAUCCGAAAGUACUUUCUCUUCUAUACUAAAUCUGUCUCACAACUGUCUAGUUCCUGUUAAGAGAAACAAUGAAUCAUUUUCCUUCAAGCCUUGUCAGUCAUUUUAUAGUCCUCUGGGCCUCUGCAGUCAUGCAUGAGGAUUAAGUUUUAGUCUAUUCAGUCUUGAGUGUGGUUUCAGAUCUGAUCUAUGCUGCCUUGUGCAGGUUUUGUAUUAUAAAUCUUGCUUCUCUUGGGUUCAGCACUAACUGAUGGUAUUCAGUAUAGAGAGACUUAUAAAUGCUGGCUUGUAUUUCCCUUAACUAUUAAGGUUGUUUACAUUUGAUAGCUUGGGAUGAUGUUUUCAGUGAACUGUCUAAUCUUCCAGAACUUUGUGAGAAGAGCAGAAACUAUUUAAGAUUUAAGAUUGUUUUCCUUCCCAGAUUCGUUAGUCAUGCAAUCAAUGGCACAAAAUUCCAUCCGCUGCUCUGUCCACAAAGAUCUUGUCAGAAUAAAGAUCUUUUGGAAUCUGCAGUCAUGGUUAGCUUUGAACUUUUGGAUUUGUCUUUUUUUUUUUUUUUCCACAUCAACUGAUGCUGAAAACGUAGUUUUGAACCUUUUUCACUUAUGAAAACUAUUCCUUUCUAAAUUAAAGGGCCUAAGAGUACACUAAAGCUCCCUUCUAUUUUAUGGUAGCUAUCGUGCUCUUGAAGGACUCAUCUGAAGACUUCAAAAAAUAUAUUCUUUUGAGUUGUGCUCUGUUCUUAGAUGCUGACUCCUUCAGAGACUCGGUGGGUGUUUGUUUUGUGUUUUGGUGCGUUUGGUUGGGUUUUUUUUGUUUGUUUGUUUGUUUGGCAUUACUACUCUUCAACUUACCGCUGUGCAAUUGAUAAAAAGAACCAUUAAAUCCUAAUGACUUGAUCCUUAUUCACAAAUUUGUUAUAAAAUGUUUCAGGCAAGUCUUUGUUCAUUCAUCCCCAGUUUUUAAAAACUUCGGGAAAGUAAGAUCUGUUACAGACAAAUAAUUCAUUUGGCUUUUUUAACGUAGCCUUGAAAUUCUCAAAGGCUCCUUUCAUACUUGCUCAUUUCUUGGGCUUGCAAAUUCUUUUGCAGAUUGUCUCCCUCUGAUCAAUUUGAAGAGAUUGGAUUAUUCAUUUAUCAUUGGUCCUUAAGUAUUUCUGCUGCUUCAGUGUCAUACAGACUAUUUUUACUUUGGUUCAGUAUGACUUGCAGUUACUGAAAGAUGCAGCUUCACUGUGGAGUACAUUCACAGUUUAAAAGUGCUGUCAUUUUUGUGUGUUUUGAUUUGCCCCUGAGACUGAUUAAAACUUGUCUUUUAAGCAACAUUUUAUCUGCUUAGCUAUACUGCACCCUUUUAACCGGGACUUUAGAGUAGUUUAGUUGCUCAUUGAUUCUACUGUGUACUGACAGUAUAUUAUCCAAGAUUCCCAAUAAAAUUGCAGUGUUAGGGAAGUCCUAAUUUGCUGUGGCUACUAACAAAAUUAUGAGACUGUGUGAAUAUUUAAUGUUUCACCUACCUUGUUAUUUAGGUAACAAGGCAAUCUUAAGGCACUGUUCUUUAAGAGCGGAAAGAGUGUUUCAGUACAACAGGUUUAAAACAAAAUCAAAGCAGAGUUAAUAUUUUAAACUAAAUAAGUAUAAUUUUUUUCAUGUGUUUAUAAGGCCUGUGACUUUACCUUUGACUAUAUGUGCUGUCACUCAGUUGGGGCCAUUAUUCUAUACUGAAGGUUUAUUUUGAAGAAACACUGGUUGGAAAUACAGGUCACUUGACAGUACUCUGUUCUAUGACUUCUCAUGAGUAGUUAUAAUAUGAAAUCUCUUACCAAUUAACUUUGCCUUGUUUCUAUUCCACCUUCAGGCUUUUUGGAAUGUAAAUGUGUCAGUUCAGGUACUGUUCACCUAAUUAAUUUUAUGAUCUAACAUGUUAAAACAGUGAAGCAAAACAAAAGGGAUUAGUAGUAGUCUAGGAAUAUGAAGUAAGUCUAAAUUUGAUAACUUUAUUGUUGUAAAUUAGAUCAUUUACCCUGACCAAUCCCCUGUGGGACUGUAUAGUAGGGGCUGUGCAGUUCACUGAGAGAGCUGACUUGUAUGAACAGUAUCCUCUAAAUGAAGUUAUAACAUCGCAAUUUUCCCUUUUAUUACUCAUUGGAAAAGCGAAGACUAAUGGAAGAAAAAUUACCAGGCUUUCUGGAGAACAGUCAAGGACUAAGUAGUUGGCUUACACCAUCACAGAUUUGUAUUAACUAGCCUUGUUACAGGCUUAGUGACAUUAAGCCUAAUUCUGUCAUUUUAUGAAUUUUUGUAUGUAUGAUUUGUACAACAGGCAUUAUAUGAGAGUUUUUUGGGAAAUAAAAUGGAGGAAAGCUAUAAUAUAACUUUUAAUCUGUACAUUGCUGUUUGUUCUAGCUCUUGAUUGCAAAUUUAAGAAUGCUGCUUUGGCUUUUCAUUGACUAAAUCUGCAAGAAUGUUAAAUUUGUUCAGCAAGACUGAAGGCUGUCAGACAAAAGGGGGAAUAUUUUCAUGUCUCUGGAUUUCAUGUUCUAGCAGACAGUUGAAAAGCAUUGUAUUUCCUACUUCACUUCCUUUUAGUAAAUUGUUACCACUGUUGAGACUCAAUGAGCAAAGGAAAUUCAGAUUUAAAAAAGCUGAAGAAUGAAAUGUACUUCAGGAGUAACAUGUGCUAAGCCCUGGACUGUGUUCUCUGUGCAGGGCUACGUGCAACAACUUUGUUUUGUGUUCGGUGCAAGAUUCUAGUAAGAGACAAAAGUGCUUGUUCUUCCCUUUUAUUAUUUCAUUUUAUUAUUUUAUUAUUUUAUUUUAUUUUAUUAUUAUUUUCAGAUUUAUUUUAUUUUAUUAUUAUUUUCAGAUUUAUUUUAACAGUUGUUGGCCUACCACCUUGGAAGUCUGGUACUCCCAAGAGAUUUAGUUCUGAGGAGCUUGGCAACACCAGAAUUUUUAUGAUGGCUUCUACUUAGUAACACAGAUUUGUGAUCUCCAGGAAUUACUGCAGAUCUAUGUCAGAGCCUGGUGAUUCUUUUAUUACGGAGACAAGAAGCCCAUGCACUGUUCCAUACUCAUCUAAUCUCUCAGCAUACUGGGAAAAUGCAUACAGGUACGUUUUGUGCUCAGAAUAAUUUUUAAAGAGGUUUUGAAAUAACUAGGCUAUGAUCUUUCACCACUGGUACUGGAGACUGUGCUGUCCUAGCUUCUUACUUAUUCUUUUCUUUGUGUACAACAACAUUUAGCAAGGAAAUUGAAAGAACACCACUGAGUUUUCCUUCUUGUUCCAGCAUGAGUGUGAGGAACCUAAUGCCGCUAUACGGUAACACUUAGGAUGCUGAUAUUGAAACACUGAGAGACAAAAGUAACUGAAUGCAAGGUGUCAAAAAUCAUACCUGCAAGGCCUUUUGUCACUAGAAAACAGGUCAAUUCAUGCUAUUUUUGAGGAUGCUUGUGACCUUCCUGGAAUGAUCUUAUUGUCUUGGCAAUAUUCAAAUUAAAAUUCUGUUUUAAAAAUAACACCUGGGUACAUUUGCUGCUAGAAUGCCUAGAUGGAGGACAAAAAUCUCACUGAACACUUAAUUGAAUGAAUCAUGCCUCAUCCGCAUUUGUGUUCCUAGGGAUCGAUUUUUCUGGCUCAGCAGCUCUGCCGGCUGCAUACAAACUCAGGGUACCAGAAGCAGUUUUCAAUAAGCACGUCCAUUCAGUUAAGCUGCCUAAACUUCUUGUACCUUUUCCACAUUCCUAAUAUAGAUUGGCAGUGCUUGUGAAUGGUAUCAGGUUGUCAGCACUAGAGAAAAGAACCGUUCCUUUUGUUCCCAGAACUAGUACAGUGUGAGCUUUCUCAUCUGGCAGCACGGUAUGAAGAGGAGGGAAAAGUUCCCUUUAUUUAAAGCAAGAGCCAUAAAGGAUGACUGAUUUUACAACUCAGCACAAGACUCAACAGAGGAGUUGCUGCUGAAUCCUAUGGAUACCAGUUUAGACUGGAAAUCUCUCUUUUUUUUUUUUUUUUUGUCAGAAGGACAGUGCACUGUAACAAAAACCCUUCAGCCACAGAGUACCAUAGAUCAAUACACAGUGUCCAUGUUGCUUGGUUAUAUGUAGAUAAUCCUUGACCCUGUACUCCAUAGAGGAGGUAGUAACACCAUGUGUAUCUUCAUGCAGUCAUGUGCCUCUUUAUAAACUGGGCAACCUAAUGUAUAUAUUUAUUAAAAAUAUGGAAAGUAAUGUAUCCCACAGUACAACUGGAGUACCUUAUUGAACCAUUAAAGAGUAAUUAAUUUAAACUCAUAUCUUCACAUAAAUAAUGUAAUCAAGAUCAGAGUGGCUGAACAGGUAUGUUCUGAAGUUGUUGCUAUUGCAGCAAUCAAAUUCCACAAACCUGUUAUCAAGGUUUCUUUGUCUUGCCUAGAAACAUUUCAGCCCUGCAUAUUAUCACAUUGCAAAACCUUGAUACUUUGCCAUUCAACAAAAUGUCUUAUUCUCUCAGUGAAAAAAAUGAAUAAACAAACAAACCCCUCCAACUGAAACAACAAACAAACCUAUUUCUGCUUCCGAUAUGCCAGCUAGAAAAAGCUCUGUCCUAAAAGUGCCCCAAACAGCUGGGUGAUCAUAGCACCCAGGAAGACCCACACCUGUGAAGUGGGUGUUUGUUUGCAGAUGUGGUGAUUUCAGCACACUGGACAUGCUCUUCCAUUGGAGAUCUUGAAAGCUUCUGGUUAUAGUUCUGAAUACAGUUUGGCUUGUACAAAAAUCACAUUGAACACCAGUUUGACGAGGGAGUGGUUUUUGCAACUGCUGCUGAGAUAAUUAAUCUAAUUCUGGUCUAAAGCAUUGCUUGUCCCAGUAAGGAAAUGGGUUUCCUGCAACUCCUCACAUGAAACAAUUUCUUUGUCUAGCUUCUCCUUGGCUGCCAAGCAAUCCCCUGUGCCCCCCAUCUUCUUUCCUAUAGCUGUCUCUGGGGUGUCUCCCCCAGUACUAGCCUUUUAACAUGAUGCUUCACCUUCAGCACCAUCUUCUCCAGCAAGACUCCAGCAGAGAAGGGAAGGUGAGUAGUAGAUUUGGUUAAAUUAUCUUCCCUCCAAAACCCUUAUGCUUCAUGCCUCUGCCAGGUCUUCUUCCUGCUACCCACCUUCACCUCUCCUCUUCACCCGGUCAGACGGGGAAUCCACAAUCCUGCUGCUCAAGGUACACAACACUUUGGAAAUAACCAGUGUACUACAGACCUGUACAUAUUUUUAAAAAUGUGGACCUAUGCAGUUUUUACAAGCCAGUUAUAAAUAGUUUCAUUGUUUCCUGAUUCGGUUGUGUAUUUUUCACACAGGCUCACUCAGCAAAGGAAUGUUUCUAUUUAAAUCUCUUGCCAAGGUGAAGUGAAAACCUGGCUUGCAACAUCACUUCUAUUCACAUUAGAAAAUGCUUUUUGCUGUUAUUUGUGGGCUUUGGAUCAGAAAUGCUUUGUGUUAUAUGUGUUCUCCACUGACUGCUGUGUAAUUAGGCCCUGAUAUUUUGGUGGAAGAACGCUCCCCAGGCUGCUGCCGGAGCAGCGUGCUCCCUGGUGCACCUGCACAAAGCUGCUUGAUAAGACAGCUCUAAUCUGCACCUGCAGGAAUGUGGUGUAGAUCAGCAGCAAGUCACCAGUACACCAGCUCCACUGUAUCCCCAGUUAAUCAGUAACCGAUAUAUAAAUGGGGGGGUGGGGGAAGCCAACUUGUUUGUUUGUUUAUUUGUUUGUUUUGUUUUUGUAACAAGUAGUGCAUAGAGUUAGAGAGCCUUAGAUCUGUGUUUUUUAAAAAAUUUCAGUGGUUUUCAAAAACUAGGAUUUUGUUCAGAUACUGCAAUGGUAGAAAAAGUUUGCGAAUCAAAAUCCAGGCAAUCUUACAAUUACUAGAUUUUUUUUUCCUCUGUAACCUGCAAUUCUUCUCGUAGGUAAGACCAAAUUAAUAGCUCCCCCUUUUUAAAAUCUAGAAAGCAAUUAUAACCAUUCUUUCAAAAGUCAUGUAUUUUUUCUAGCACUUUCUUUUGCAUAUGUGUUGUAAUUUCUUGUCAUAUAUUAACACUUAAGUUAUCAACUAAGAUCCAAGUAACAUUUUGCUGAACUCUGCAUAUGCUUGUUUGUGGUCAGGCAGUCUUUAUUUUGGUAAGCUAUUCAAAUUAAAAAUACCAAUAGGAGGAGAGAAGUACUUUUCUUACCCACAUACAGGUCAUUGCAGAAUCAUGUGGAUCGCUAGUUUGGGCAACAGGAUUCAGUGGCACUGAGUGACUGUCUGUCCUAACUGUUGCUCUGCACUCUGUUACCGUGGAUCUCCACCAAACGUCACAGGUGACAGACCAGCACCUAGAUGUGUAACUGGUAUCCAUGGCUCCCUUCAUUUAGACAACUGACUGAUCAAGACAGAUUUUCCUGGGAAGACUAGAUUAAUUUCUUGAGGUUAUUUUUCUCAGAUAUCCAAUAUACCUCUAGCUGAACAGUUAGCAAGAAAUCGCAACAGAGUAAGAGCCAGAAUGGGCCCAGCUGGCUCUGUUAGCAGGUUGUGUGCCAUGUCAUGCUCCUUUCUUUUCAGCCCUGCAGCACUAAAGAAUAUACAGAACAGAUUGAAACGUUUUCUUGUCACAACAAAAACCUAUACAUAGGAGUCUUUCCAAAAUCACAGCCUAUAAAUGGCUUUUCCCCCCUUCCAAUAUCUUAAAAACAGAUAAGCUUUAACUGAAUAGUUUUCAUAUUACCUGCUCCUGCUCUCCAAAGAGACAAACAGCAGAGCACUGGGGCACUGUCACUGUGAACAGGCCAUAUCUCUCAGUGACUUGAAGAGCUUUACUUACUAAAGAUGUUUUCCUGACUCAAGUCCAGACCUGUGAUAAUGCAGUCCCUUUUACAGCCACUCUUACUCUGAUAUCUGAGUGGUUUUGGAGUCUUGAAUGUGUUUAUCUCCACUGUGAUAGAGCAAGGCUGCACACAAUUUGCACAGUUAAACAGAAAAGCUGUGGCAGCGGGGAUCAGACUGAAAUCUCGGAAAUUACAGACUACCAAAACAUUCCUCACCUUGUUAAUGUUUUACUAAUGGGAUGAAUGCAUUUUUGCCUUUUUGUAUGUUUGGUUUUGUUUUGCUUACAUUCCCAGGUGUCUUGGUCUAUCACACUUUUUCUGACAAUGUGUAGACUUAAAAUCACAUCCCGAGUUAAAUCUCUGUCCAUUUUAGUAUGAUUUGAUGCAUUUUGCAAUUAUUUAAUUGUUGCCCUUUCACAUGAGGUGAAGGAAGACAACAGAACAUGUUGUUUUCAAAAUGUUUUUCCCCAGAUUUCACAAGAGCCAGCCUCUGACCCAGGCUGCGUCUCCACCUUGGCAGGAUGCACUCUUGUGUGGGGGAACCUAUAAAGGAGCCCCACUGUGACAUGAUCUUGAGAUCACCACCACUGUCAUCUCAGAACAUCCAGCUCUGGGUAAAUUAUAGCUUCACAAACCUUCCGCCUGGCUUAUACAUCACUGCUGCAACAAUGAGUUCACAGUGAUAUUGGCAGCAGAGGAGAUGGCCAUAAAUGUGACAGUGUAUUUGCGCUGCAUGCCCUUAAUUGUGGCACCAGUUCCCACCAGGGAUGCCGUCAAGAGUUCUGGGGUUAUUUUAAAAAGGUUAAUGAGGGAAGGGAGACUCCAGCAUUGCAACUGCACUUCAGAGUAACCCCUAUCAGAUUACUCAUAGUUCUCCUCUUACUGGGCAUGUGGGGGUGUAGUUGAAGUGUUUCUCCAAGGCGAGCUAUGUCCUGCUGCAUUAUUCAUGGAUAUAGACCAGCUUACUUUAGCUUGAAAGGCAUGUAGGAGGAAAACUCAGUUCAAUUUGUUCACAGCAUGACAGUACCAUCAUUUCUAAGACAGCCAGUGUGGCUGCUGAUUUAGUGGGGGAACUGUGCUGUGCACAGGGCUGCGCUCCUGCCAAGUCACUCGCACAAGUGUCAGCAGGGCAAUGCUUCUGUGCUCUUCAUUUCUGAGAGAGGUGAAAUUAAAAACCAAACCAAACCAAACAAGCCUUUAAGUGUGAGCCUGUCUUUAAGGACAUAGUGGAACAGGGAAGAGUUAGGUACCAACCACUUUAACUUCUGACAUGUGAGCAGUUUGAGUCUGCUGUCUUUUAGAAGUAUUUAUAGUGCACGUCCCUGUAAAAUUCAGCUUCCUUCAGUCUUGUUGUCUUUUUGGGAAACUCAAAGGUGUGAAAUUGAAGGGUAGAUCCAUCUCAGAGCUCUGGCUGAUUCAUGUCCAGCCCUGAGAUGGGAUCCAUUUACAGACCACUACUGCAGCUUGCUUUAUUUGAGUCCUCUCUGGAAGGUGGUCCCAGGCGAAGGAGCAUAAAAGACCAGCUAGAGACAAAGACAGUCUAAAAUGCAAAAGCUCUGGAAAGACAUUUCUACCGAUUUCCUCUCCUGAGCCUGCGGGAGCUUGGCUGGAAGAGCCCAUUGAGGAAGGGAGGAUACAUGCAGCAAGUAUGGUCUCUGUCAGGAUGACUAUUAACAAUCUUUGCUUUGUUAGGCAUUAAAAAAAAGUCUGUCUUUUAAUCUACUUGCUAUGCUUUACUUGCCUUGUUUACUUCCUUGCACUUCAUUUUCUCAGUCUGGGCAGAGGAAUAAAUUUCUCCUUUUUCAUUCAUAUUAUUAGUGAUAGCAUCUCCAGACAUCCGUCUUUAAAAUGUGAUUUAGUCAUUUAAAAAUAAGUGUUUUUAAAAUGAAAUUGAAAUUAUUCAUACCUAUUUUUGUCUUGAUUAGGGUUCAAAUAUUAGAUAAAGUUGGACUAAAUAAUACCCUUUAGACAAUGAAGCCCCUGCAAAUAUCCCUUUAUAUUAUAUACUGUUACCCAAAGACUCGGUGAUGUGGCAAUCAGUAGAUACAUAUUCUAUAUCCACUUUCCCUAUAGUUAAAUAAACUUUUAAAGCAAAUGUUCCAUUAGCUCCUGACCAUCAAUCUGAAUGUAAUAAUGGGGCUGUUUAGAGCCAGAUAGGCUUCCCCACCCCCCUCAUUCUAUUAAAAUAUUUACAUUGUAAUAACUCAGUAGGGGUUUUUUUUGUUUUUCUUUUUUUGUCUUUUUUUACUAAAUGGAAGGUCUGUAAGUGGGUGAAAGUAUUUAAAAGGAGGGCGAAACUGAAGAGACAUGACAUGUUAUUGAAUUAAGGGCCUUAGAAGGUGAGGGCUGUGCAGUCAUAAAUUCCAGGAAUGCGGAUGUGACUCUCUGAAUGUGUAUAUGAAGUUGACAGAGUUUGACAGCUACCAUCUGUGAACAAUAAUGUAUAGAGAAGCAGGGCUACAUGAUGCAGGCUGGAAUGUACCUAUCAGGCUCUGAGGACUAUAACAAUUUACUACUCAUUAUCAGGGACUGUGGUCAUGAUUAGCUGCAGGGGCUGGAAUGAAACUUGGAAAUUAUAAGAACAAAGCCCCCCUUGUUAAAGCAAAGUAAUUAGUUUAAUACAUACGAGGAGAAAAUGGGCAGGAGACUUCCUUUUUUUUUUCUUUUUUUUUUUUCUCUUUUCCCCCUUUUAUGAAGUGUUUACCAUCCAGGCCCUGCUCAGGAACACUAAAAACUGCACAGUGAAAAUGGAUGGACUGUUACUUCUUUCUGCAUCACUUGAAAUAUGAGAAAAUGGCUAUUUUGUAUUCAUGCCCUUACUAUUCUGGGGCUUUCCUGGACUCCACAGUCUUUGCAGCAGAGAAUGACAGAGACAUAAUUAUGUGAUAACUGUGCUUAUGCUGCCUUGGUUAAUCAAAGCUUAUUUCUUGUAGUCUGUACUCUUCUAUGUUGUGUCAGAGUGUAGAAUUUUGGCAAAAAUAUAGAUUUGAGCCACAGCAUCUUGUAAGCAAAAUUUCUAUUUCAAAAAGGGUGCCUUUGCUCUUUCCUCAGUCCUGCAUAUUCUAAACAAAUCUGUGUUUUCCCACAGGUUAAUAUUUUCUUCUUGGUAAACACCAUCAUGUACAGUGCAGCUGGAGCCACAGAGAAAUACUGUGAAUUCUCAUUGAAGGUUGCUCAAAUACACUAUCUGAUGGGAGAGAGAACAAGCUUAUUGCUGAGCAUAAAUUGGCAUGGGUCAGUCAUACUUAAAAUUGUGUUUGUACAAGCUGAGAAUCUGUCUGAGAACAUCAGGGAAAUUAUCAGAUAAGAAACAGAAAGCAUACUGUCUACAUAAUGCAUAUCUCAAUGCCCACAAUAAUAUGUAUUCUCAUUCUUUUCCUCCACGCAUUUGCUUUUCUUACAAAAAUGACAUCAAUCCCAGUCUCCACACAUUAGUCAAUAGUGAACUGCGACAGCAGUUUUAGUUCCAACAACAAGGUGCCCAGAUUCCUAGGAAGGGCAUUCGACUUUGAAAAACAUCCAGCAAAACCAACACACAGAAAGAGAGAAGCAGCAGGAAGUCUAUUAAGCAAGAAAGAUACCUUCCAUCCUCUUUUAAUUGAAAGAGAAAGGUUAAGGUUGGUUUAAAAAGAAUGUGUGAGCAGACAAGAAAAGUAUAGUAAGCAGUUCCUGUGAUAGAUGGUGUAAAUUUAGUCAUUCCUGCCUGUGGUGGGGGUGGUGGGAUUGGACUAUGUGACCAAGUUGAGUCCUUUUUACUGCCGUUGUCAAAGCAAAAGAUGAGGACAUUUCUCAAGUGGAAAGACAGAACGAUUUUUCAUUAUCUGCUUUAGAAAAACAUACACCAGCAAGGUUAUUAAUGGAAUGCCAUUAAUAUACAUGUGUUGCACCCAUGUAAAGUGACUUACACGGACACGACGUAAAGGUGUGCCUGUCACAGCUAUGGAUGUGCUCCUUAUCUGUUGAAUAAACUAACUUACCCUGAGUUUGGGGUUGGCACAUUUCUAGUAUCCGGGUUAGCUUUGUAUGUUUUUUCUGCAUUGAGAUGACUGCAGGCUAAACACGCCAUUGCGAUGGCAGACAGCUGGAACAGGUGGGACAAAGUAAGGUGCUCUUCUCUUGUGUUCCUCAUCUUGAUUGGCAAUUUGACUUACACCAGUCAAUGCACACAUAGCCUUCCUAUAUCAGGAUCUUUUCCUGAGUACCGUGUUUUCAACUAAGUAAAGUAGAAAGAGAUCAGUUUCUUUAACAUUUUCCUCCACAUUUUUUUACUUUUCUUUGGACAAGCUGUAUCUCAGAAAUGGAAGAAAGGUGUCUAGGUUAGAUUUUUUAUGGAAACAGUUUAUUUUUCAGUGGCAAAAAAACAUUUUUUCCAUCUAGCUCUAAUUAGCAAUAUAUAAAAGUGCAUUUCCUGAAGGAAAUUGAUAUGCAGAUGACUCAGGUAUUGGUGUGGAAAGAGGCAAGCAGUGUAAUAAUUCAGUGUUGUAGUGAGUUGAUAGUUGAUAGUGAUAAAUGUGAGCUGGAUCUUGUAUAUUUGCCAGGUGAGUGGUAGCCACUGGACACAGCAAACUGCUGCUUCUGGUACUACCGGCGUGCCAUUUUGUGCCUUGUUUUCUUGUCCAGAGCCUGUUCAGGGGCCUGUUAACACAAAUUAGUGGCAUUCACCUCAUUCCUCCCCUUGCACUAGGCUCCCCUAUUGCUUUGCCCUAUUUGUACAGCACCUGCCACAGUGCAAAUAACAGUCUUAAUGAUGAUUGUUUAAAAGUAAGUAAUUUAAACAAUAAGCAGGAGACAUUAACCAGACCUUCUCAUCACCACCUACUAGGAUGGAUUUGAGACAGUCUAAAGACAGUUUCAUUGAGCAUUUCUCCUCUUGUUGUAUCGGAUCGUUCCCCAAAUAAUUUGGUAUUCAGACAUCACCCAUAGAGACAUAAGCUGCCAAAUAUCCAAUAAUAAGUACUAGUCAGGAACUUAGAUGUGUCUUUGUGUUCUGAAAACUUUCCUCCCUGCCGAUCUUUCUUAACAGGUCCUGUUCUCUUGGUAUCACAGUUAAAAUGGACAUGAUAUGCAAAAGGAACCUCCUGCUGAUUGCCUGUGAUACUGUUUGAUGUUGCAUGCAAUCAGUUUUGUUCCCAGUCUGUUCAGAUCUGUUGGGUGAGGGUGAGCUCCAUUAAUUAGGCACUGUUAUAAUUUGCAUCUACUGCCUGUAAGAAAGACAACAUGCCUACAAACACAAGAUGGACUGACACAGACUAGAGCACAAACCAUCAGCUCAAAUACAAACUGCCCUGGGGCUCUACACAGAUGUCAUAGACACAUGCUGGUGUGGAAAGCUCUUGCUAUUUGCUAUGUUUUUUAUGCUAUCAUUAUCUGUAAUAGCAAGAUAAAAGCUUGUUGAGGUUUACCAUGCUUUUUGUGUCCUUUCUUUUGUUGUGUAGACAUUUCCAAAGGUAUUAACACUUUUAAGACAACCAUUUUCUAAGCCUGCCUGUCUAAUGCAGAUAACCUACUGCAUUCCUUCAAAGCAGUAAAGAAAACGGUAGCAGUUUUGAAAUCGUCUGUAAUUUUCCCCCUAGAAUUUUGUAACUAUGCUAUUUUACCUCUCUCUUUUGUAUGUGGGCAGUUACUAUGGCUUUAGGAUCAUAUGUGUCUAAAAAGCCUUUCUUUAUAUGCUUUAAAUCUUCAGUAUUACAUUGAAGUUAGUAGAGCAGCUACCAAACAUUUUAAUACCAAGUUACAAGUAUUUAUUGUCUUUAACAGCAUCUGUUGCUCUUCCCAUCCCAACAAGCCAUUACAGUAGUGGGACUGGGCAGUCUCACCUCGUUCUCUACUUUUACUUGCUCAUUUUAAAAUCUGCUGUCAGCUGAGAAUUUGUCUUACUAGUUUGCCCAGCUCCUAGUUCCCCUUUACAUCCAAGAAAAGUGAUUAACCAUCUUAUAAACACAGUAAGAAUUACUACAAAUAAUGAGCUUAACCUAAAAAGACGGUAAUCUCAAAGGGGUUUGUGGCUGCUUCGUGGCCCACAAGUUCAACCUCAACAGGUUCCAGAGUUAGCACAUUAAUUUGUGUAAUGUGGUUUUGAGACAUUGUUGGGUUGUUUGGCUUGUUAACCUGCUUUAUUGCUUUUGAUUAAGUAGUAAGUUUCUGGAGAUAUUUUCAAAAUGUACAACAUCGGUCCAACUCAGCUGGGUGAUAAAAUUUUCAUUUAUUUUCACUAUUCCAUGAUUUUCUUUGACUCUGUAUUUUCAUGACACUAAGCUGUAGAUUUUAGAGGACAAAAGUUUGUUCUGAAAGAUCAGCUGCCUUAUUGUUGCCCACCCUUGCAAAAAGUUUGCAUUUAGUUUUACUGAAGAGUACUAUUUCUUUCCACUGAACACAGCUUGUAAAAACAUUCUUAUGACUGUUCAAUAUCUGAUACAAACCUUAAGCUUUGUGCAGGAUUCUAAUAUGCUGAGUAUGUAUUGACGUUUGGAAAUAAGUACAAACACCUUUUAUUCUGUGUAACUUUCAUAUUGUUUAGCUGAAUUAUUUUUAAGAUGGCCUUUCUCAGGUUUCAGGUACAAGGCAGUUGUACCUGAAACCUGAGUUGUACAGUACAAGUGUUGUGGUUCCUGUGGGCUUAACGUCUAGAUGCGUCCCUGGCUACCCAGAAAAUUAGUUCAAGAGUAAAACCUGAUGCUGUCCUUUAAAUGAGAAAUCUGAUAAUGAAGAAUGAUGGACUAAGAAGAUGGGCUAGAUGAGCAUUAGACAUCUCUAGCAGGCAGGCCAGCAUUAGCAGCAAGCCUGGGGUGCAGGACACAUGCAGGUACAUUGCCCUGUCCCCAUAUCAUGGCUACUGGCUCCCUGCUUAUCAAUUAAGAAAUAAUUGACCUUGACCUGCAUUCCCCCUCCAAGCAUUUCAGAGACCUGGAUCACUGUCAGUCCCUAUCCCCUGCUGUUUCCAAAAGCAGAGCCAGCAGGGGGAAGAAAAUGAACACCACAAAAUGCAUGAACUUGACCAUGACCUUAAAAAAUCCACCAACCCUCCACAAACUGGUUAUUGUCAGGCUGCCCCGCUGCUGAGCUGGCAAUUUUUGAGCCCCAGUUGAGAACACUGCAGCGCUUACCUGUGACUGCAAUAGUCAGAGAACAGGGCAGGUCUAUGAAACUGUCUGGUUUUCAGGCUGCCUUGUUUCACUUAGCACAAGAGGGCUCCAGGGGAGGUCCGAACAGUUGCACAGUGCAUAUGACUCGUAAUAAUAAUAAUGAAGGUUGACCUGGGCUUGUUUCCAAUCUGUGCUCUAAUGAGAGAUAGCAGGUUACAUUCACCAACAGGAUAACAGCCCCUAACUUUCCAGCUGGAAUUGUUAAUGAAUCAUUGGUUUGCCUCUGCUUAGAUGGGAUAUGACAUUCCAGCAACAGUCGUUGGCUUGGUUUACUCAAAAAAUGGUUUAUUUUUCAAGAGGGAGGUCUGUUCUUGUUAAUUAUUCUCACAGCUGGGAUGGAAGUAUACAGCACUUAAGCUCCUCUUAAAAUUUAGCGUUGGCAAAUGCCAAUAAUGGUGAAGCAGCUUUGGAUUUAACACUUCUGUAUUUCAUAAAAUAACAGGUACAGUUGUUUCUUUUCCUCCCUGCCCCGAAUAUUUAGUGCUGUAAAGGACUGGAAAAAAAUAUGUAAGCUCUUCUGAAAGGAGACUGGAUCCAAAGCCUCCUUCCUUCAACUGAAUGCCCACAUUAGUAGACGACAUAGAGAGGUGCUCUCUUGCUUGCCCUCUCUCACUCUCUGACACUUGUUUCUUUUCUGUCCUGUCUCUCUGCUUUGAGAACAGAGGCAGGGAAUGCCCUAUCUCCAUAGAAGAAGCAGUUCAGUGGCUGGAGGAGACUCCUUGAAGUGGCAAGGUAUGGCUUUGAAUUGACUCAUGCAGAGGAGAGCACUGAUUGUAGGUCUGCUGCUUUCUAGAUGAGAACUUCAACCUCCAGGCAGUUAUGGGUGAUCAUAGGCAGACUCCAUCGUUCUGUCCUCUAAAGUGAAAAACAUUAGCUGAACAGCUUCACCCAAAGAAGUAACCUAUGUCUCUGAGCAUCACUAUACCUGAGUGUCUUAGUAAAGCUUGGCCUAAGGAACUUCACAGCACUUGUGUAUUUGCAACCAAGAUCAUCACGAAACCCUACAUCCUUUUGGAUGGAAAUAAAAACAUCAUCCUUCCUACUGACUCUGGCUGAUAGCAAAGUCCCUGUGAAGCUCUGUGGGCCAGAAAAAGUCCUGUGGAGCUCCUCCCGAAGCUGCUUUGGCCAUGUCCCAGAAGAGGAGCACCACUGACAACAGGGCAGGCAGAGCCUCCAGGCUUUUUACCUCAUUCUCGUUGAUGGUUGGCUCUGCCAUCUUGCCAAGCUGAUAGAACUUAAACCCUGCUAGGGAGUCAUGAGACUUCAGUACCACAAAGCUCCCAUAACUUUCAUCCUUUGCCAUUGCAAUCUGGCUUUGCUUGCAUUCCAAAAGCACCUGCACAUUUUUUUGCAAGCCACUAUUUUAUUUACAAUGCCUCGCACCUUGAUAAUUUUUUCAUCCACCCACCUCAGAGCCCUUGAUGAUGAUGGGAAACAUUAUUGCCUCAUUCCAGAGAUGGGGAAAAUGAGGAACCAGUCAAUUUAGAUUGCUUUAGAUGUAAUUCAGAACUGGAAGUAAUACAGCAUUACAGCAAACAGCUAGGUGAAUAUUUCAGUAUUUAUGGUCUAUUGGAAAGGCCUAACUACAUGUUUUAUAGCUAGGUGAAGAGCAGAGCGUGUUUUAGAAAUGCACACUCUGUGGCCACAAUUCAUAUACCCCCCAAAAAACCUAUCAGUGGACUUGGAGAAUGGGAAGGGAGAAGAGAGGGAAAGGGAAAUGGGAAACAAGCUGCUUGAAUCAUGUAUAAAGUGCUUGCUUGAUUUUCCUGCAAUUAAGAAAUCAGCAACAUGUAUUUUUUUAUUAUUAUUAAUAUUAUUUUGUGUGCAGCAUGCUUCUUCUUGGUAAAGCUGGCUGACUACUGGGGACUCCAAAAAGCAAGUAUGUAGAAAGGCAUUAGUGGGACGCCAAAGAAACUUCCAGAGUCACGGGGCUGCUCCAAGAGCUCAUAUGGUCCUUGUAUCAGUGGUCUUGUUUGGGGUUACUUGCAGACCCCACUAAUCUUACUCUGGCUCUCUCAAAAAAACAGUAUGUAUCACAAAAACAUAACAUUCUAGUACUUGAUACAGCACAUAUUGCUUCCACUUGUCUCCUUGAAAGAUAUUGUGUAUCUUUACCUGCAGCUUGUCUUCUCCAUGGGCUGAAGUAUAUCUGAGCUGGGAGGACCUUGCCUUAGCUGUGACUACAGUGUGCGACAGUUGAGUCUGCUCUGUCUUCCCAAAGGGCUGCAAGGCAGGACAAGUCAGCCGAAUUUGGCAGGCAAACAAAAGCCGUUUGGCAACUGUAAGAAAAACAACAGCUCCAUGGUCUGGAAGCUGUUGCUGGGUCUCACAGUGAAUCAGAGCGUGUCCUUUACUGCUUCACAGCAGCUCUGCUCCCGAGAGAACAGCCUUGCAGCAAGGCCAAAAACAAGCCUCGUACUGUAUGGAUUUUCAUCUUGUAAUAACAGCUUCAUUUUCUAGACAUGAAGUAUAUGUCCUCCAGUAAUAUGUGACGAAAUGUAAAUUGCAUGUGUUCUGUAUCCAGCCAUGUUGCCCGUGCUGGCAGCCUCUCCCUGGGAGUGUCAACAGCCCCGCACACCCACAAUGCUUAUGUUUUCUCAUACAUCCCCCAACCAAGGCAAGCCUGAAGUCACAAAUUUCACCUACAAGCCACCGGCAGUUCCUUGCGUGAUGACAGACCUUUAUGGCAAUUAGCCAGAGGAAAAUAUGUGAAAAGAUGUUGAGAGGAAGAAAAAGCCUUGUGAGAGUGAACAGACUGGCUUGUCCUGAGAGCCAGGGCUUCCUGACCUCAGACCCAGGACACCUCAUCCCUCGCACAGCACCACCACUGUGCGCCGGUGCCCCUGCGACCAGUGAGACCAUGAGCUGGUGUGCACCCAAACGUGGAACUGGCUCUGCUCUCCUCUUGGCAGCUCCGGAGCAGCAGCCAGUGGCUGUCUCGGGUGUCCUGUCAGCACAGGCUGGGGAUGGGGGAGGCUCUGGCUCCCUACCCAGCGAGUGUUGAGAUGCAAGGGUGGCCUGGCAUGGAAGCCUGCAGGAAUGCCGCCAACGUGGGAGCUGUGCUUUUGGCUCAAGGCAUCAAAAGACAGCUUGAGGCAUGGGGUCGAGGUGGGCAGAGAAGCGCGAGGGCUGGACUCGGUGUGUGAGUUUCUCUGGGGUAGCAAGGCGGUGGGGGGGAAGGCAUGGGAGUUUGGUUGGGCUUGGCUUGGUGUUAGGGUGGGUGACAUAAAGAUGGAGUGAGGCAACUGGGACAUGCUUUGUCCUGAAGGUGUGACCAGAGGCAGGCCUGUGGUGACUGCUGUUCAAGGUGUUGGCUGCUACUUUACAUCUUGGUACCUACUGCUGUGAGUGGUGACACUCAAGUCACCUUCGGGCACCUCGGAUCUAGGAGGACACUCACCUCCUGGAGUCCCUGAGGCAAGACCACCAAGCUCCAGAAACCCCAGUGAUUUCAGUGAGUAUCAGAUCUGGCUGUGCACUGAGGUUGAACUGAGCAAAGAGAAAGGUUUCUCACCUCUCCUGCUCUCCCUGUUCCACCUCCAGCUGCCCAUAUGCCUCUCUGCUCACAGCAACAGCUACUCUGUUUUCUGAGGCAGAUGAAUCACAUCUGCAUUUCCUUCUGCUGCUUUGACCGCAGGAGUCAGUGGUCACCAGCGUAGCGGGAGGUGGGGCUGGCAGCGGGGCUCGUCUCCCAGCACCCCUGCUGACUGACAGAGCUCUGAGGGUGCAACAGUUGAAGCAACUUCCUGCAGAACACAGCAGCAUGGCAUCAUUUAAGAAACCUACAUGUUAUGAACUGCAAAAUAUUACAGGAUGAACAUGUUCUUCCCAAACCCCUCAGUUUCCAGAGUACUACCACAAGGCUCUGUGUCCAGCCUGCCCACACUGUCUGUCUCUUUCCCCAUCCCAAGUGCCAGCUGUGAUUCACUUCCUUUGCAGAAUUUGUCCUCCAUUCUUUACUUCUUGCAUGCUUCUUUUCUCAUAUUUGAAGAAUUUUUCCCUGAAAACACAACUGGGCACUUUUUCAAACCCUAGUGGAACUACAAGCCUGAAGCACAGACCAAGACUCACAUAAUUUGCCUUUAUAUUUUAUUUAAAACAAUAAGAAAUUAUAAAUAAAAUAUCCCUGCUUAGUAAUACUUUGCCAGCUAAAGGACAGUCUGUCCUAAUGUUAGGAAAAACUGUAAGCUAAAUUGGCAUAGAUGAGCUGCUGUACAGCUUCCAGAGAAUUUUGGGAAAAGAAAAAUUUAUUUCUGUAAACACAAUCUCUUAUAAUAACUCUGAACAAAGGUUUCCACUUCUGCAAAUGAUUUACUAGUCAAAGAAAGUGGGACAUUCAUUAAUAAAUGUAAAUACUGGUUUAGAAAAUACAGUAUGAGUACAGUUAGAGAAAAUUAUGCUCUAUUGUAGUCUCAGCCAAUUGUUUUUUGGUUUUGGCUUGUUUGUUUGUUUGUUUGUUUGUUUGUUUUUCUCAGAGUAUUUUUACUGAGCGCUGACUUUUUUUUUCCCCAGGAGUUUCUAUCUCAGAGUUAAUCAUAACUUUAGGAACUGUCCCAAAUCAGUAAUAAUGUAGUUGCACUCCUUGUUGAACAGAGAGGAGAAUGAAUUGCAACUUCAGUUCUUUCAUAGCUGAUUCAUACACCAAAAGAGAAUGAAUCUUUUAUAUACAACUGCCUUCUGGUAUUUUGAAAGAAUACAUAUUUUGAAACAGCUGAGAUUGCAGUUACUGCUUAGAUACAAGUGAAAAACAUUCUAGUUACGUGGUAAUGUUUAAUUCAUGGCUGCAUGUAAUAUUAAUGCAAAAUACUUCUCCUUCUCAAUUAGAAAUCCUGUUAUCAGUUUGUGAUGUUUCAGCUAUUUCAGGUGCCAAGAUGUGAGAGAAUGUGUGAUUCUAAGCAGUGAGUCAGCUGCUGUCUACAUCUACAGCUAAGUAGUAUGGCCAGAAUAACACCUCAUUUGACUGGUUUUCCUAAUUAUUUUUGUGCAAAGCCAAUUCCCUUUCAUGCCUAUGGCAAUUCAGGAGAGAUUCUGACAAUAAUUACUGGGCAAAAUCACUAUUGUUUGUAGUUAGAUCUGCAGAUACAGUGAUUCUUUGUCUAGAAUGCAGUAAAUACCUAAUACAUAUUACAUUUCAACAUUGUCUAAUUUUCCAGUAGUUGAUUGUAGUUGGAACUGCUCUUAAGCUUGACUUGUUACACAAUUUUUUCUAUAUGCUCUUAGCUAGCAUAUAUUUUGCUUUAUAGCUAGUUUAAUGCUCAUUCCUAGUACUCAUUUCAGCAAUUUGAAAUCAUAUCUUGAGUUACAAGUCAGUCUUGCUCAGAAUGCUUUUUCAAAUGAAAAGAAAAAGAUCUGUUUUACAAAUGUAACUGUGAAAAAGCAUACAUUUUCCCAGACUUUCUAGAUACCUUUUUUUUGCACAACUUCAGACUAUGGGAAUGCAUUUUGUAAUUAAUAGUUCUAUCCCUAUACCAUCAAAAUUAAUGUAAACUUUGCUACUAAUAUCAACAGAGGUGGAACCAAAGCUGUAGCAAAACACAUACUGCAUCAGUAAUACUGUAGCAUAUAAUGCAGCGUUUGUUUACACACUUUAAUCAAAAAAAGGUAGUACUUUGCAUUCAAAUGCCAUGUAAUCUUAAAUUUAAAGUGCAGCGCAUUUCAAGUUGACUUUUAAUAGAGGCUGUAGCUCCGGUCCUCCCUUUGCCAGUUAAUAUAGGAAGGCAGAGACGUCCUAAGGUCAGAGGGAGCUCCCUUGUCCAUCUCCACAAACAUGCUGCCCCAGUAUGCAGCCAGGAGAGGGGCCUUUCUCCAUGGAAGUACUUUAAGCACAGGUUUUCUUUCACACCUUCAUCCAUGUCUGACAAGCAUUAGUAGCGAUGAGCUUUGUUUUGGAACAGGUGAACAGAAACUUCCUCUCAGGAUGUAUUUUAAACCUGGUUUGAAUUACAAAUGAUUUCUAGGCAGCUGGAUAAAACUCACCCAGAGCUAUGGUGCAUCAGUGCAUGAGGCAUUCAGGCACCACCUGUCCCAGGGUCUUACCCCUACAGCUUCUAGCUAGAAGCUAGAAAAUAAGUUGUUCUCUGUUAGUGUUUUCCUUUCUCAUUUGGUGGAGAUUCUAUAUGAAUUACAGAAUUCUGUAAAAAUACAUAACUAAUGGAUUCAUAUGCUGGGACUUUGUUUGUUUGUUUUUGAGAAUUCAGUGAGACUGUGUCAAAGGUGACUUGUAGGUCAGCCACAGAAACCCAUCUCCAGGAUAUUUCAGGCAAAUUAGAGUACUUGUUUUCAAAGUUCCUGCAUAUUUUAGGGAAAAGGGAAAAGUGCUCUGGUGUAGCAUAAGAAAGAAAUGGAAAUGUUUUCUCUCUAAUUGGAAUUGAUGCUUUCCUUUUAUUCCUAUGAAUAAGAUGUCACUAAACUUUUAAAUAUGCAGUGGAAUACACGGCGGCAGCAGUGUCCCCUUCGACUUUGCAAGCAGUGCAAUGACCCUGGAGGCUGCUGGCUGAGGGGGCCCUGCCAGGGGUGAAGAGCAGAGGCUGGUGGGACAGGGCCCCAUUUCCUUCCUGGCCUGGGGACCCAUUCCAGCCAUACCACGUCACAGCGCUGCAGGUAGCACAGGGCAAAUAACUCUGGGCUCCGAGCAAGAAAGCAAAUAUAAAAAUGACCAUGAAAAUUGCCCAACCAGUUAGAACUGGUUCCAGCCAGGAACACAAGUCCUACCUUGAAAUACUUAAAUCCCAUUUGGACGGCAUAGAUUUACAUUCCAGAUGAAGAAUUAAUGGCUUUCACACAAUAUCCUCAGCAGAGAUGCCCCAGCAUACCAACCCCUGCGUUUUUAGUAGAUGGAAUUUGUAAUUCCUCCAGGAGCUGCAUUCUUUUAAGUGUUACUUCUAUUUUGGGACUGACUACUUGCUUUAUUUAGAAAAAAACCUGUGCUCUUGUCGAGCCAUAGAGACUAUAUGAGUCAUCUAUACAAUAAUACUAAAUCAGCCUUCUCUGUUAUGGUACAGUUCAUCAUAAUCACAAAGGGAUUUAUAGAAAACAAACAUAGCUGACAGAGUCUGCUCUUAAGCUUCCUGUGUUUAAUCCGCGUGCGUUUAGCCAGCUGAACAGUGUAUCGUUGAAAAAUGGAUUGUUAUUAAAAUGUUGGGUGUUGCAGUAGCUCCGAAGUCUCAUUUUUUUGGCUAAUAAAAUGAAUGUCAUUCCUGUGACAAUUUUGGCUGCCUAUGUAUAGUCAUCUGCCCACAUAAUAAUUGUGUGAAUGCUAAUGAAUACCCUGAAACUUUGAUGAAUAAUUUUUUAAGGCUGCCUCAUAGGCAGCAGUGCUUGCUUAUUUAAAUGCCUUAAAUACAUCCUUCACAAAGUAUCACAAAUGGGCUGUAGUCUUAGACAAAACAGACUAUAGAAAACUUAUGGUAUAGAGACACAGUGAAGCAACACGUAACCAGCUUCUUGUACCCUUCAUA